rnacentral:rRNA from 1 species
AUUGAACGCUGGCGGCAUGCCUUACACAUGCAAGUCGAACGGCAGCACGGAGCUUGCUCUGGUGGCGAGUGGCGAACGGGUGAGUAAUAUAUCGGAACGUACCCUAGAGUGGGGGAUAACGUAGCGAAAGUUACGCUAAUACCGCAUACGGUCUAAGGAUGAAAGUGGGGGAUCGCAAGACCUCAUGCUCGUGGAGCGGCCGAUAUCUGAUUAGCUAGUUGGUAGGGUAAAAGCCUACCAAGGCAUCGAUCAGUAGCUGGUCUGAGAGGACGACCAGCCACACUGGAACUGAGACACGGUCCAGACUCCUACGGGAGGCAGCAGUGGGGAAUUUUGGACAAUGGGCGAAAGCCUGAUCCAGCAAUGCCGCGUGAGUGAAGAAGGCCUUCGGGUUGUAAAGCUCUUUUGUCAGGGAAGAAACGGUGAGAGCUAAUAUCUCUUGCUAAUGACGGUACCUGAAGAAUAAGCACCGGCUAACUACGUGCCAGCAGCCGCGGUAAUAAGUAGGGUGCAAGCGUUAAUCGGAAUUACUGGGCGUAAAGCGUGCGCAGGCGGUUUUGUAAGUCUGAUGUGAAAUCCCCGGGCUCAACCUGGGAAUUGCAUUGGAGACUGCAAGGCUAGAAUCUGGCAGAGGGGGGUAGAAUUCCACGUGUAGCAGUGAAAUGCGUAGAUAUGUGGAGGAACACCGAUGGCGAAGGCAGCCCCCUGGGUCAAGAUUGACGCUCAUGCACGAAAGCGUGGGGAGCAAACAGGAUUAGAUACCCUGGUAGUCCACGCCCUAAACGAUGUCUACUAGUUGUCGGGUCUUAAUUGACUUGGUAACGCAGCUAACGCGUGAAGUAGACCGCCUGGGGAGUACGGUCGCAAGAUUAAAACUCAAAGGAAUUGACGGGGACCCGCACAAGCGGUGGAUGAUGUGGAUUAAUUCGAUGCAACGCGAAAAACCUUACCUACCCUUGACAUGGCUGGAAUCCUUGAGAGAUCAGGGAGUGCUCGAAAGAGAACCAGUACACAGGUGCUGCAUGGCUGUCGUCAGCUCGUGUCAUGAGAUGUUGGGUUAAGUCCCGCAACGAGCGCAACCCUUGUCAUUAGUUGCUACGAAAGGGCACUCUAAUGAGACUGCCGGUGACAAACCGGAGGAAGGUGGGGAUGACGUCGAGUCCUCAUGGCCCUUAUGGGUAGGGCUUCACACGUCAUACAAUGGUACAUACAGAGCGCCGCCAACCCGCGAGGGGGAGCUAAUCGCAGAAAGUGUAUCGUAGUCCGGAUUGUAGUCUGCAACUCGACUGCAUGAAGUUGGAAUCGCUAGUAAUCGCGGAUCAGCAUGUCGCGGUGAAUACGUUCCCGGGUCU